GAGAAAAUCAAGUUAAAAAACCAGACAGGAUGCUCCUUAAUAAGGGCUGCUCAAUUCACCACUCCUCCCUCCAGGCUUUGCGGGGAGCCGGAGGGGGAAUUCUGAGUGACCACUGGGGCCUCUACCGCCCACCCCAUCCGCCAGUCCCCACCAGACACUGCCUGGAGCCAGGGUCCUCCCCACUCUGGCCCUGAAGGAACCUUCAGGAAAUGGAGGAAGUAUGGACACAGCCCAGGCAUUUGGUUAAGUAUUUUUAAAAAGCUUUCCAAUUCUGCUAUUUUUUUCUCCUCACAUUCAAUAUUCUUGGUUGCUAAGUGGGAGGGAAUGUGGGGAGGUGGGAGAGGUGUGGGGAACUGAGGGGAAAUUGGCAACACGAAGCUGAUGGGUUUAUUUUUUCAUUUCUAAAGGGGGUACAGGCAAAGGAAAGCGCUCCGGCGCCGAGGCAACCUGCCUGGGCAGCAUCUCCUGCUAGCUGGUUCGGAGGCAGACUCCCCCAAAUCCUGAAGAUUUCAUAGGCCAGGAGUGGGGGCUUUCAGGGGAGAUAAAUAUGGACAGUUUCUAUUUUUGCUUCCAGACUUAGAAAUGUAGAAUUUUAAAAAAAUUAAAAUGAUCUUUAUUUUGAGAACAUAUCCACAAAAGGGAAGAGGCCAGUCUCAUGAUUACCUUUCACCAAGCGAAGGGCGGGUGCGCCCAGCAGCACAGCGCCGCGCCGCUGUUCCUGUGCUUGGGAAGGGGACUUCCAGCUGGGGGGGAGGUGGGGGCUGGGGCUGCCUGGCGGUGGGCAGGGCAGGGGCUGGACAGCUCAUGGCUUUCCAGGCAGAGCUCUCUUCCUUCCAGGUGCACUGCCCGCAGGGCCUGGGGUCACGGGUCUGUCUAUCAGUUUCCAGGGGGUCCAUCCCCUUAACAGGGCCCUGACUUUGAACAUUUUUUUUUAACUGCAGAAACAUUUGUAAAACAAUCUCACAGGGAACCCCAUCUCUGUUCUGCUGCCUCCGUAGCCCUCCCUCCCUGCUGGUCUCUGCAGACCACGGCCACCAGCCCACUGCCCGCCUCACCCUUCGUACUCAUUUAUAUUUUAGGUGACAUAUUUUUAGGCCCCUGACUCUUAAAAGCAUGAUAUCAGCUGACCAGACACCUUACUAGGAAAGUAAAAAAUACUCUGAGUAUUGGAGCAGUUGUGUGAAUUCACUUGAAUCAUUACAUCCCUUCUCAUUAAAUGACUUCCUUCACUUAGUAAUCUAAACAUAUGCAAGGGAAAACUGUGCAAGACUUGGAAAUGGGCAAAUAGGUGGGUGUCUGUCCGUGGAAUGCUGGGGGUUGACCAGCAGACCUUCCCCGGGUUAUCUGACUCUAAAGGGCAGGCACCGUUGACUCACUUCCCAUUGACGGAGCUACUUUACAGCUCUGUAGGGGUAGAAAUUAACCCGCGGAAAACUGAUAAUAAAGCAAGUGAAUUUUGUUUGGGGGAGAGACAACUGAUGUCACCCUGCAGUAAAGAACCCCAAACGAUAUCUUUCAUCAUCUUAUAGGAUGUUGUUUUUGUAUCUACUUGCAAAUCAUUUCAGCAUUCCUGCCUAUGAGUAUCUGUUCUUCAAACUCUUCUGUGAAUAGGUCUUAACAUUUUCCUGGUUCCUGCAUUAGUUAAUAAGGUAAAUAAAAUCUUUGACAUGUGUUUGAUAGUCGUAUGCAUCAUGAUUUUAACUUUUUCACAGUGAUAUUUUAUGCCAAUAGCCACUUCUCUUCUUAGUAGCAUGCGGCCUGAUGUCUGUGCAGGUCUUUUAAAUAUUGCUGCAGGAACCCCAUCUGGACCACAUAAAUGACUGGUCUAUACAUAAAUUACCAGAAAGAUAAGACUGGUCAAAGGAGUUAGGUAAACGGGUGUUAGAGAGAAACUGGAUAGAGAUCCAUUGUGAACUGAGUCCAGUGGGUCACUAUGGCAGUGAAAGCAAAAGAAACCCAGGAUCUGGAGGCUUCAUCAGCCACUGGGAAAACAGCCCCUUAAACAUGGAGUGUGAAGCUCCACUGCUAUCAUCUGCCACUUGUGGGGGCCUGGAGGUGCACAGGGGUGACAGAGUUAAUGCCUGCUAAAUGCCAAUCAGAGAAGGCACUGAUAGGCAGGGACCCAUGCAAAAGCCACGCAAAGCAGGCCCUGCUGGCCUCUUACCUGGGGUUGGUGAGGUUGUAGCAGGAUUUCCAUAUCUGCAGCAUGUGCUUACAAGUCAGCAGUGCCUCGUCCGGGCCUCGGCAGAGUGACUGCAACUUCACUUUGGAAAACAGUAGUCUGCAGUGGGGAGACAAAGGGAGAAAACACCACGGCUCAAGCCACAGAGUCCCCAUCCCAGCAAGACAAGUGGUGGGCUUAGACCCAGAAGCAGCUGUACUCAUUUCAGAAAGGGAACAUCCACAUGUGUGGUCCAAGGAAAGCGGGAUUCCAGAACUCCUGGCUCAAGGUGUUGCUUUGCACAAGUCUCACCACUAACGCAAAUGCAAGCACGAUGUGACUAUUUGUGGUCAGGCUGAAAGCAUUAGAGUGGCCAAUUUUAUUCAGAACACAGGGAAUUUAUUAAAAGCAUGCUUUUUAGAACCAAACCAAUUUAUUUGUGAAACCUCAAAAACUCAUUAAAAGCGAACCUUGGUUUAUUUACAGAAUUACACAGGAGAUUUGACUCAGUUGAUAUAAAUAUCUACAGAUAACCCUCCACAAUGAUGCUCACCGUCGUGUGAGCUUCGAAAGCCUGAACGGAAGUCCCAUGAAGAAGGGCAGCCUCCGGCAUAGGCCCUCAGCUCCUGUGUCUUCCCAUUCCUGCUACUGAGGGCCUAGGGCUCGUUCCGCAAUCACCUAGGUCUCUCUUCUGUAUUUUUGUUACCAUCAACUACUCCACCCUCCAUCCAGACCUUCUGGGCACUAAGCUCAGAAUGUUCUCUCUUUCGUGGCCCCACAGGGUAAUGCCAUUUCCAGAUUCUACUUAUGUUUCUCUGCCGACAUCAGCCUAGGUACCUGUAGACAUCAGCUCUCCUGGCCCCUGGACUUGUCACCACUAUCCUAGUAAAAGUCCCAGUAUGAGCCCAGCUUCCUUCCUGGUGUUCUUCCUGUCCCCUGACUUACCCGCUCUCACACAUCUUAUUAUAAAGAUCUCCAAAAAUCAUUCUUUUCCCCAAGACGGAGUCUUGCUCUGUCACCCAGGCUAGAGUGCAGUGGCACGGUCUUGGCUCACUGCAACCUCUACCUCCUAGGUUCAAGUGAUUCUCCUGCCUCAGCCUCCUGAGUAGCUGGGAUUACAGGCAUCCGCCACCACGUCCGGCUAAUUUUUGUAUUUUUAGUAGAGGUGGGGUUUCACCAUGUUGGCUAGACUGGUCUUGAGCUCCUGACCUCGUGAUCCUCCCAAAGUGCUGGGAUUAUAGGCAUGAGCCACCGCUCCCAGCCCCCAAAAAUCAUUUUUGUUCUCACCUCGAGAAACUACAAUGAUCCCUUACUUAUACUGUCUGUAAUAAUAAGUCAAAAUUCUGUAUCUCAUCGUUUAAGGCACUCCACCAACUAGCCACUCUUCUUUCACUGUCUCAUCCGAUUGGACCCUUUACUUCUGCCAAUGUAAUUCAUAGGCCAAAUGCUACUUUUCUGGCACAACUCUAUGGCUACACAUGCCACGUCCCCAACUUCAACUUCUACUCAUGCACAUCUUUCUUUAAUUCUUCCCAAACCCAGCCAAAACCCCACUUAAAUAAGUAAGUCUUCAAGUUUUAACCCCUUAUCUUCUCUACUCAGUAUGUGCCAUAUUAGCUGGCAUUUGUUGUUAAUAAUAAAAAGAAGAAAAAGAGAGGGAGGAGCUCCUGCUGACCGAAGGCAUCCCACGUGCCAGGCCUUGUGUUUGGCACUUCACACGCUGUCAAUGUCCUUGGAAGAAGCUGUCAAGGCAGGUGGUGUCUAACACUCUUCAACAGAUAUGGAAACUGAAGCUCUGGUGCCCUUUGGUUGUUUUCUGGAUGUGAUUUUCUUCCUGAGGACAAGAGCCCUGACAUCUCUCUCUGCCUCUCUGUAGCCUCACCUCCAGUUCCAAGAAUUGUGCUCUGAGUUUGAUGGGCCUUAAAUCAGCAUUUACUCACUGACUACUUUUUCUAUAAAGCAAGGCAUUUUAGAGAUUUCAGCUGGACAUCCAGGAGAAUUCCUUCACCCUGCAUGAUGUGAUGUCCUCAUUCAAAGAGAACCAGACAGGAAGAACAAUGGUAGAGUGGCUGAGCACAAACGAUGGAAAAAAGCACUUGGAAGACCUCUCAAGAGGAACAGCAUGAGAGAGGCUGGCAGAGAAAAGGAGCCAGGGACACAGCAGGGACAAAGAGGAAAGCCUGACAGCUGCUGCCUAGGCAGGAAUGCAAAAUGGCUGUGCAGAAAAGCAUGCGGGAUCUGCCCAAGCGGGGCAGCGGCUGAGGGGGCCCUGGAUACCUUCCCCAUCUCUUGCUGCCUCCUGUCCAGAUCGGGGGAGCUGGAGUGAGGCUGGCUGUCAAAUAUCCGAAGGAAAGUGAGCAUCUGUCACCAGGCUGCCACCAACUCGCCUGUGUCCAAAGGCCUCCCUCCCUACUGGUAUCCCUGGGGUGGUUACUGUGUGCUCACUCCUUCCAGACAUCCUUCAGGUUCCUUUGUCUUGGACCUCCACUAGACAUCAAGGAAACAUGCCAAAAAAGUAAACAACAAAGGCCCCCACACCUUUCCAAACUACAACCCAAAAUAAGUUGAUCUGAGAAACAAAUUGCAAUGCCGCAUGCAAAGCAGAUGUGUCCAAAUUCAUGUAGGACCAGACACAUCCUGAACCUUUCAGUGCAACAGCUGUUCAAGACUUUCUUCAAAAUCAUCCAAGCACAAGGGUUGAUAAAAUACACACAAAAUGGGUAUGUGACACCCUGGAUUCCAUGCAGGUUUGGCAGUAACCAGGGAGAAUUAGAACCCGAAGCUAGAUUUCGAAAUAGAGCUCUGGACUGAAGCAUUCUUGCACAACCAUCCCACAGAUGGCUUCCGGUCUCGCUCCAACUCCAGUCCUCUGUGGGGCCUCUUCUCAGCUCUCCUGCUUUUUCCCAAACCCUCAGUAACCUCCCUCCUUAGUAGAAGGCUAUGACUUCUCUUUCCCAAACCAAUUACUUUUCCUCAAUGAACUUCUUUUCUUGAUGGAUUUAGGUUAUAACUGCUGGCUGUGGAGGCUUUCUGCUUUGGAACCAUAGAAUCACAGCUCUCACAGUUGGAAGAGAGACCAUUCACCCCAAUCCUUCAGUUACAGGGAGGAAGCUGAAGUCCCGGGAGGUGAAAUGGCUUGGGAAAGGUCACCCAGCUAUUGAGUGUCUGACAAGAGAGUGAUUCCUGUCCAUCCUCUCCUCCUGGUCAAACCCCCUCCCCUGGGGAAGCAGGGAAACACUCCCUCGGAGCUCUGGUGUUCUGACACUACAUGCCCACAAAGGCUGCUGCCACACCCACAAGGCUCCAUUUACUCAUCCUUCCCCAGGUGACAACCUACUAUGUGAAUAGCACUCAACCUGGUAUUGAUGGGUGGGUCGAAAGGCAAAGCAUAGGCAUGAUGUUGAUUUGCAGGGAUGACCAGAGCAACCAGGGACAAACUGAUACAGGGAUCAAAACGAUGUCUUUAAGGGAUAGCUGCCUUGAAGGAAUUCAAAGCUGGUUCCUUCAUUUAGCGAGUAUUCCUGAGUGCUGAACACAUGUCAGGUGGCAUUCCAAGUGCCAGGGUAAAGCAAUGACAAUGAUGGGCAUGGGUUCCUGGAACCUACAGUCCAGUGAGAAAGACAGAUACUGAACAAGAAAGCUGGGCAAAAGGAAGAAGUGCAGGCUGCUACAGGAGCAAGGCUUCAUGGAGGAGGCGAGAGAAGCUGUCAGCGUAGGGGAGAGAUCAGAUGGUCAAUCAAUGCCCACACCUGCUGCAGAAGCCCAGCUGUGAGCCACAGUCAGGUGACAGGACCUUUACAGGGAGGUAUCCUGGUUUCCUUAGUCCCUAGGUUGCCAAUGGAAGCCACUUCUCAAUGCCAUUCCCAAGCAACCAGGAAGACAGGUGCAUACCUCAGCCCAGGCCUGCCAGGGGAAUGGCAUGUCUGGAGAGCUGACCUUUGAAUCACCCUCCCAGUCAGCACUCAGGAAUGUGCUGGGGUUACCACCAGUGUCUUGCACCUGGUGGGUGGCCAGGCAUGUGGCCAACAUCCCCAGAACAGCUGGGAGGGGAUAGGAGGGUUUCGGGAAUGGCAGAGGCAGCAUCUAAAAGCUGCCUUUGGGAAGAUGAAGGCCGACAAAACUUGCCCCUCCCGCAAGGAGAUAGUGUUAAGUCCCCUUUUUCGAGUAGCCACGGUGUGUAACUGUUCAUGUUUUCCACGUAUUGUAAAGGACCUGGUUCUUUUGUCUCUGCCUGCUGGCAUCUUCCUGCCAAUCAAUGACACCCUUAUGACAACCAGACGCCAAUCAGGGCUAAAUCCCCACCAUGCAGCUCAGCACUGGGUUCUGCUACCUGGUUCCUGUUGGCAAGGGACAGAGGCUCUUUGAUGACUCCUGGGUUCAGGGUAUAUGCCAUGUGCUGCUCCCCAGGUUGCCAUCUGACCCUAGCUUGGGCCCUCCAGCUGUGUGGAUUUAAUGUCCAAUAGCAGAGCCUGGAACUCCUGUGUCUUCACAGCUGAUGCUCAAACCAACCAAAACACCAGGCUCUUUGCUGAAACCUCUGAGAAGGGUUCCUGGCUCCAGGUCAGCCUCAAUGGAAUAAAGGAAGAUCACCUACCACUUCAAACUGAAGAGCUGAAGGAGUUGUAUCAAGAUACAGAGUGCAGCAAGUAUAGGAAACAUUAGAGAAACUGACCUGUCUGGAGAUGGCAAGCUGCAGAGCCAGGUAGAAAGCUGCUUGGUGAUCUGUGGGUGACAGGCUGUGGGCCCUGAAAAAGUAUUUACGGCUAUUAGUACAUGGGAGAGGAGGCCAUUUUUACUUUCCCUAUCAAGCAAGUCUUCUCCACAUUUGCAUUCUUAUACUAAGGGCCCGUAUUUAUUUAACUAUGUAAUGCUUCAUUUAAACUCUUCUUCUUUGUCCACCUACACAUGUAAACCAUUUCCCUCUUACCACUGUAUAAAGGUACAGAAUAGGAGUGCAUUUCUGUGUUUUGUCUAGCAUCUAAAAUGGCAGCUGAAGCUUGUCGGCUUUGCGGAGGGCCUCGAGGUGAAGAAUCCAUAGGCCCUGAGGUCUGAUCUCCCCAGCAGAUGGGUCUCUGUGUCGUGCUGGGACGCAGUGAAGCCAUGUGUGCACUUGGCAAGGCGAUGGCUGCUUUGGUUAAGUUUGGCUUGGCCUUCCUUAAUGCUACUUUAUCCAAAUUUCUAGAUUUCAGAGAAACCAUAUGAAAAUCAAAGACCCAGCUUUGCUUAUAAAAUGAGGUUUGGGUUUUUGGUGAAAAAAGGGAAGAGAAAGGCACUCAUUCAGUCUUUUGAAGCUUCUACAAAAUUCCAUGCCGUUCACUGAUUUAUUGCAGAUAACUGUCGUGUAAGAGUGUGGUGAGACACUAGGCUCAGUUUUAAGAACUGGCCUUUGACGUCAGACAGGAAGGGACCAUACUGGCCUCCUAGCUGAUUGCAAACGUGGUCUUCUCUGCUUCUAUGUGGAAGUCAUUUGUAUUUCAGCAUAAGCAACUCAAAAUUUGACUACAUACUAGACAUAAUUCUGUGUUUAACUGCUGGGAAGAGAAAAACAAACUUCUACUUUCUUUAAAAGGCACCAUGGAGCAGACUAAUUAGGUGGGACCCAGAUAGUAAACAAAACUUCAUGCUGUUCUGUCAACAUUCUGUGAUUAAAGGAGGAUCUUCUACCAGCAGAAAACAAAUUCGAGAUAAAAAAGAAAACCAAAUCAUUAUGGAUUCAACUGUGGCAAACAGGCCAAAGAUGGCUUUCUACAAUAAUAAGGCCUUUUAAUUGGACUGUCUGCUGCAGGGAAGGGAGCUAACAAACCUCCCAGGUGUUUGCCAUCCAGAAAAUAUGCUAAAUUCACUAAUUUAGGUCAUUGUUUAUGCAAAUGUAAUAGCUCAUAUGCAGGUCCAGGGUGAGGCAAAGCUAAUCUCUGUCCUUAUAUUAAUCUUAGGAGCAAAGCACAUAGACUUCCAUUCCAGGGGACUCUUCACUUGGCCUCAAGACAUAGCCUCAGGACUUUUCUUAGCUUAGUUGAAGAGGCUGAAGCUGAUAUUGCCUGUGUUACCCUUUUACAUGUCUUAUUUCUCUUUUUUUUUCUUUUUCUUUUUCAGACAGGGUCUUACUCUAUCACCCAGGCUGGAGUGCAGUGGCAUGAUCACUGCUCAUUGCAGCCUCAACCUCCCAGGGCCCAAGCGAUCCUCCCAUCUUAGCCUCCCAAGGUGCUGGGACCACAGGCGUGCUCCCCACGCCCAGCUAAUUUAUAGAAUUUUUUGUAGACCCGGGGUUUCAACAUGCUAUCCAGGCUAGUCUGGAACUACUAGGCUCAAGUGAUCCUCCCACUUUGGCAUCCCAAAACCCUGGGAUUACAGGCAUAAGCCACCACGCCCAGCUACUAAAUGGCUUAUUUCUAAGGUCCACUCAGUAUAUAGCAGCUUUUAUAAUUUUACAAAUAUUGGCUUUCCAUGAAUUUGUACAUCAAAGAAUAUUUUUCUUUGGUGUUUAUAAAAGUGAGAUUGAAAAAUCAUGGUUUCUCUCAUAAUUAUUCAGGAAAAAUAAUACACAAUUAUGAAGAAAUUUUUAGAUUUAUUUUAUCUUCUUUCACAAAUAAUAAAUUUACAGAACCCUCAAAAAGAACUUCUUAGAAUUAUAAUUUUCUCAGUUCAAUUCAUAUUCUUCACGAAUAAAUCAAGUCAUGGUUGCCUCUAUGCAAUACCAACCAACUGAAAAGCUGGCAAUGAUCUGUUGAGUUGAGGGUGUACAUAAAGAUAGUUCUGGCUAAAGGCCCCAUGCUGGCCUCAUCAAAUGAUUUUUCUCUGUUAACCACAGCACCGUGAAAGGAACAAACCAGAAGUGCUAGAAAUCUUGGUAUUUCUGGAGUGCAUUAGGGCAACAUCUGAAGGAUUUCCAACUUGGCUAAUGAUGCAUAUUCAACUGCCAAAUUUCUAAUGAGGCACAACUGAAACAUAUACAUUUUAAAAACCUUAUUUCUACAACUUGGCUAAUGAAUUCAACUGACCACUUCACCCUCUGAAGGAAAUAAGGCAAAUGCCAAACAAAACAAGAAAAAGCUCCCUGUGUUGAUCUCAAGUAGAUGCUAAAAUACUUGCUUCCCGUGGAGCAACUUCAGCAGCUAAGCUUCCUGUGGGAAAGCCCCUUUGGUAUGCCACAGGCAACUCGCCGGACAGAAAUCCUCAGGCCAGGCAGAUGAGAGAGAGGACAUUAGUGAUCAGAAAAAUUGCAAGCCUUCUGAACUCUGUAAAUGAAUCUAAAGCAGCCUCAUAAACUCCGUGCCCAUAAACUGAACACCUGGCUAGACUGCUCAGAAAUACCUAAAAGACCUAAAAAUGUCACCACAAGGAUGCUCACAAAAUGCUUCCCUUAUCAAAGCACCUCCACAUAAUUAAUUCAGUUUCUCUCCCAUGAAGAAGAACCCACUCAUCCUUUUAUCCACUUACCCACCCAUCCACCCAGCCAACCACCCACCCAUCCACCUAUCCAUCCAUCCACCAUCCAACCAUCCACCUACCCAUCCAUCCACCAUCCACCCAUCCACAUUAUGCAAUAUCUAUAAUGUGAUGCCAGGCCCUAUGCUAACUUCUGGGGAGCAUGGAGAUGAAUCAUGCUAGUGCCUUUCCUUGAUGAGCUCCCACCCCCGCCCCAGAGGGAGAGACCCAGAAUGACCAUCAUCAUCGUGCAGUGGGAGCAGUGCCCAGAGAUAGGCAUGCUGGGCUGCUACUGGAAAGCAUCGGAUGGGCUUCCCAGAUCACCUGGCUAGAACCCAAGGAUGUUGUGGCAUCUAACCCAGGGCUCUCUUAGAUUCCAUUUCCAACAUUCUCUAGAGCUGAACCAAGAAUAUAGAGAAGGCUGAUCAAUGCUGACCCUAGUCCAUAAGACACAUAUCUUGUAACAAUAGUAACUACAAUUUGUGAAGUUAUCGACUAUUACGCUUCUUGUCCAAGAACAGCCAGCAAAUGAGAGAAAGCCAGAACCUUGCUGCCUUGUUUAGCCAAUUCUCCUUGAAUUUCCCUUCAGUCCUGAUUACAGGGGCCAUGGGAUUCGUGCAUUAAGUUUUUUAAAAAGUGCAAACCCUGGUUAAAUCUAUUGCUCAGGAAUCUCUCGUUAGUUACUCACACAGGGUGACCAACUUGUCCUGGUUUGUCCAGGAUGUUCCUGAUUUUAGCACUGCAAGUCCCAUGUUCUGGGAAAACGCUCAGUCCUCAAGAGAUUGGGAUGGCUGAUCACCCUAUAUGCACACAUCAUACCACACUUAAACUCAAGCUAGGACAGAAAGGGGAAAGCAAAGCAAGAUCGUGUACCCUGUGCCACAAUGAGUGAUAAACAAACACCACCAUGCCACCCCUGCCUCCUGGAGCACCAGGCUUUAUGCAUACUGUGGGCCAUGCAAUGAAAGGUGCUCUCAACUGUUUUCAGGAUGGCUUUUCUCAGUAGGAUGUGAGAGCCUGCAGAAGAAGCAAGUCAUAUCAAUUCAGCAUCUUCAGAAGCUUUGCAAACAAUAUUAUGUUCUUCUUCACUAUACUUUAGUACAGGGCAAAUGAAUUGGUUCAGCUGCCUGGGUUGAGCUUAUGAGUGUAGGAACAGGUGAGGGUCUCACAUUCAGAUGCAGCCACCCAACCUGGAUGUCUUCAAAAAUCACCUCUUUGGAUCCACUAGAGAACAAAUAUGUCUGAAUUCUGGCAGUCAUAAUUAAGAGUUAACUUUCUUGUGCUAUAUCUGCAACCCCAUCCCUUCCUGAAUUGUGUUUUCUUUUUAAACAAAAAAUGCAAAACAUUAGUAUAAACAGAAUUGUGGGGAGAAUAUUUAAAACAAAUAGUAGAGAAAGUACUUCUCAUCAAAGUAGUUUUAAAUUAUCCAUUUACAUUUAAGAAGUAAUACAAAUCAUUUUCACUUACUUAAAAUCUUUCCCUUAAAGAUUUUUGUUAGGACUGCAAUUCACUAGAAUAGUCCUAGUUAAUGUGUACUUGAAAUAAAAUGAAAAACAUUCUAUAUUUCACACAAAUUCUAAUUUAGGUUAGCCUUCUGCAAUAUCAUCAGUUAGGUUAGCGGGAUUUUAUUACUCUUUAUUCCCAUAUGAACUAAUAUUUUAAAAAUCUCUUCGAAUUUAAACUUAAGCAAAAGAUGAACAAAAAAGAAUUCAGGCCAAUGGAGCAGCUGUUAUAUAACAUGAAGUUAUACUGGCAGCUCAAGGCAGACCACCACUGUGGCUGUUUUUAGAGAGCCAGUAAGAUGUGCUGAUUUAAGAAAAGUGAAACAGAUGUAAUGACCACUUUCUUAAGCAUCCAUGUGUGGGUUUUACAAACUAGGACUGGAGAAUUUAAAACUCCAAAUCAUUUGAAAUGGAAAUGCUUUCCACACUCCGUGCUGAGGAACAUCAACAAAAGCUUAGCACAGAGACAGGAGAUCUGUUUGCAGAUGUCAGUUGGUACUUUUUGUCAAUACCCAGACUGGGGCUGGCAACCUGAAGUAGCUACCGGCAAGCCUGCUAGGAAACAGAAAUGAGACGGAAGAGUUUCAGACUCACUGAAACCACUGAUCAUGAUUUCAUGAAAAAAGGCAUACGGACACCAUGAUAAAUCAGUAGGCAGCCCCAGUUCUAAGGAAAGAGUCUAACGAAGCUUGUCAGGUAUUGGGAAGGCCUCAUGAAAUAUUCGUAACUAAGUUUCUAAUACAGUUCCAAGAAAUCAGUGUAACUCAGAUAUAUUUAAAGUGACAGGAUCAAUACCCAUGCUGGAUUUCACAUCAUGGGGCUAUGCUUCCAGAUGAUUUCAUUUUUGUGAUUAUACCUGUAACAAGAAUAAAAUGAGGGCAGUGUAGUAUGGUGGGGCAGGAGAAACUGUGUUAGAGCCAGGAGACCCUGACUGCAUACUGACUUCAACAGCUGCGGGACCGGCAGCUCCUGUAACUCCUGCGCCUCAGUCCCUGACCUGCAAGGGACAUACUGCCUGUCCGUCUUCCUCACUUGUGUGUGGUAAGCAACAAAUUAAAUAAGGGAUGUGAAGGCACGCUGUGACACUCGAGCAUUUUAUAAUUGCAAGGCCUUCUCCUAAUUUCCUGAGAGGCACAAUGACAGAGAGAAGCACAAGGUGUUAUGGAACAAGGUGGGGGCGGGGAGUUUGGGGCUGACUGUCUUCACUCAGUAUUUCGGAGACUUCCUGAAAUCGGCCUUCUCAUUCCUUUAUACAAAAACCUGCAGUUUGACAUGUUUUUUUUAAAAAAAAAAAAAAGCUAGAAAAGAAUAAUCUCUUCUCUAGAUGAUGACAAAUGUCUUUAAUAAAGGACUCAUCUCCCUUGGCAUACAAAAUACCUAUCUUUUUUGAGCUGAAAUCACUUUAUUAGGAAUGAAUAAAAUGUGCCCAAAUGGAUAAACAGAUUAAGAGUGCAGAUUGACACAGCAACAAGUGAUACAGCAGGGUUUGUGUGCUGUGUGUUCGGUGCUCAGGACGAAAGACUCUCAGGGGUAAAACACUGUUUACAUAAUCUUUAUAAAUAUCUCUUCUUUUUAUACUCAUCAUACUUUGGUGUCAUUAUGUACAGCCGAGUGAAAAGAUGAACUCCCACUCACCUCUGAAAUGCAAGAAGCGCCUUUCUCUGUAGGACCUCCUGCAUCCCUCGCAAAGAAGCUAAGAAAAGGGUUCAAUUAGUCAGUGGCAUGGGGGAUCAGGGAAUUUUGACAAAUACAAAACCCAUCACAAAACCUGUACAUUCAACUGGAUUAAAAGCAACAAUGUCUGAGUGCCUACGUGCCCAGUCCUGCACCAGGCCCUGGAGAAGAUAGGAAACAGAGCCCAGUCCUACCCCCAAGGUGCCUGCACUCAUUAGGUGUGACUGUGGAACAAUGCCAAGGGGACAGUGUGAGUUGGGUGGUCACUCUUGGUACUCCCAGGCAUAUGGGGGCCAUUUGCAAAAGACCAGUUGGGAACUCCAGAAGGAGCACGACUGCCCUCUCAAGUGUAGGCAUGUAACUCAGGGGAACGACAAGCUCUAUGAAGAUGGGGUGGGAGGGUUGCAAGCACCGGCAGUGUUGAUUUUGACAGCCUUGCCUUCAGAGUUCCUUCUGCCACUGAGAAGCUGCAGUCCUGGGCCACCGACAGUAGCUUGCUGCCUUGAAAGGCCAGCUUGGUUCACACUGGGCAAUGGCCAGGACCUUUAACACCUUCAUGUGAACACAAGGAAUGGAGUAGGCAAACCUAACACUGAUCAUGGAAAAUGAGCUCAAAAGCAUGAGGCCACCUCGCUGUGAAUCAACACUUCCCCUGUGCAGAGCAUGUGAGAAAUGGCCCCUUAAACCUGGCUAGGAAUGAAAAAGGUACUUUUUACUAGGGCAAGAGAAAAAGUCCUGGAGGAAACUGUUUAUGGCUGGAACUGCAAGAGGCCAUUACCUAACGCCUCCAACAUGGCACCUCCCAGCCUGGCAUGAGACUGAGAGCAGUGAAAGGCUGCCAGGGGGUCAAUGUGGCUGGAGACCAUGGCUAACUUAGAACAGCAGUGACACAGCUAGAGAGAACCUCAGAAAGGACCCAACUGACCCAAGAAUGGAAAAGGAAGCCCCAUAGGGUCAAGCAACUCUCCCAAAGUUGCAGGAGUAAUGAGGGGUAGAGUCUGAAGAAUUUACAUGGGUUAAUAUGUGGCAUUAAAUUUGCCCCUCACUCAAAGUCUACUAUGUCAAAAGCUAUGUGCUGGGUAUUGCCAAUGUACCAUGUGUAUAUGGAAAAUUAGCAAGUAAUCCAUAUUGAAAAGUAAUUAAUAUGCACAACUUUCCCAGGACCUUUGAUAUUUUAGGGCAGAGGAAAGAAUUUGGAGUAAUUUGUAAAAUAAAUUACAACAAAACCAUAAAGAAAAAAUGAAGUAUUACAAAAGCCAGGAUAGUAUUUCCUCGUAAGGGAGAGAAGGGAGUUUGUGAUUGGGAGGGGCACACGGAGGGCUCCCCAGGGGGCUGGCAAGGUUCUAGCUCCUCAGCAGGGUAAUGACUACAGGAUAUUUUGCCUUAUACUAAUUAAAAUUCAUUAAAUUAACCAUGUGUUUCUGGGAUUUUUGUUUUGCAUUUGUGUUAUAUUUAACAACAACAUGAUAAAAGAAUAGUAACAGUUCAGGAAAAGUUUGUUAAAUUUUCUGCAAAUAUCACUGAAAACUUAAGUAUACAAGAUUUUUUCUUAGCUAGAAUCCCAUCCAUCAGAACUCUAAGCACAUCCAAAAAUCACUGCGCCCAAGACCCCUAGGUGUCUUGUGAGCUGCUGCACUGCACAUGUACAUAUCUACAAAUUAAAAUGUGCAAAUGGAGAAGGGGCAUUUCCUGACCAGUCAAGGGAAGCUUCCUGGAAGUGUCUGGCCCUGACUCUUCCACAUUCCUGUACCUAAGAUCCAGCAUCCCUUCACACAGGACAGCCCAGACCAAGUGGUGGGACAGGGGCAGGUGCAAGGCUAGGUGGAUGAAUCAUCCCUCAAAGCGCAGUGAGGUGCCCAGUGUGCCACCAGCAUAAUGUACCUAAAAAUGAGGCCUGGGAGCCCUGGCACAGGGCCUUCCUCCCUGCCCUCCCAUUCUCCCAUCAGACCAAGCAAAGAGGACAGCAGCACCAGGGGCCCCACCGGAUGGCACACCAGAAUGCCCCAGCUUCUGCACCCUCCUGAGACAGAAGGGGACUGUGGGAAUCCCGCAGGGUAGACUUAGGUAGUCCAGCCCUGCAGCUCAGCAGCUGUGGGGGUGGGACGUCUCUCACCGUCAGUGGCCUGCAGACUGUACGUGAGCCCCAGAGCUAAGUAGCCUUUGGCCUUGAACUCUGACGUUUUCU
rnacentral:lncRNA from 1 species